rnacentral:misc_RNA from 1 species
AAAAAUACCUGAAUCGCCAUGUUAAUUUGUAAAGAUUUCUAUUAAUCGCCCAUCAAGGUGUCUGACCAUGGACCGCCGUACUUGGGCCCAGGAUGUGUUACGGUGUCAUCUCUGUGAGACCCCGGCCCCCCCUAUGUACUGUGACUUUUGUCACAUACAUCUGUGUAAAGCCUGUGUGGGGGAACAUCUAUCCGAUGAAUCCAAAGAUCACAAAAGUGUAUUUCAACUGGUGAACAUCUAGGACACAAACAAGUUGAACUCUUGAAAAGCCUUGAAGCAAAGAAAGAAGUAUUACAGAAAGAUUUACAAGAAUUAGAGAAAUUGAUUUAUCCUAAAUACCAAGAAAUUGAAUCUAAUUUCCCAGUUCUAAAAGCUGAUGUAAAGGAAAACUCAAAGAAAUUGACAGCAGCUAUUGACAAACAUGGAGACAUUUUGCACAGAGAAAUAGACACUGCUAUCAAUAAACUGAAAUCUGACGUGGGCGAAAUGGAAUAUAAACACCUGGUUGCCCUAAAUAAGCACGAAAAUGAAAUCAAAUGCAUUUGUACUGAAAUUACUGAGAGUAUUGCUAAUUUGAAGAAGUUACUGAACUCCAAUGAUGUCAGCUUUGUAUCUUCUUACCAAUCCAGAAAUGCUGAAUUCAGAAGAUUGCCACCUAAACUCACAGUUUCCUUACCAAUAUUCACUCCUCAGAAAAUUAACAGAGAACAGAUUUAUCAGCAGAUUGGUUCAUUGUCGCCGUUAUCUAUUAAAACAGAUGAACAUGGCUACACAAUAGAAUCUCCAGGUGCAGAGUCCUCUCCUCCAGACAAACCACUCAUUGUUGUACCACGGAUCAUCACAGAUAUAGACACAGAGUAUGGAGAACCUAAUAGAUUAUACAGUGUGUCCUGUCUGAGUGAUGAUGAACUGUGGACGAGUGGUAAAGACAACAUGAUGAGACUCUACAACCUCCAUGGUAAACUAGUGAAGUCAAUCCAAACCAAGUCAGGGAACAUGCCAUUGGACAUAGCAGUGACACAGAGUGGUGAACUAGUAUAUACUGAUCCCAAUGAUAAAACUGUGAACAUAGUGAAGAAUGCACAGAUACAGACAGUGAUCAGACUACAGGGGUGGUAUCCUUUCAAUGUCUGUAGUACCUCCUCUGGUGACCUCCUGGUUGUCAUGAUCACUGGUGAUAAGAAACAAGCAAAAGUUGUGCGUUGCUCUGGCUCUACAGUGAAACAAACAAUUCAAUACAAUGACAAAGGACAACCUCUCUAUUCAUCUGAUUAUGAAUACCCUAAACUCAUCAGGGAGAACAAGAACCUAGAUAUCUGUGUAGCUGACUUGGAAGCCAGUACAGUAGUGGUGGUCAAUCAGGCCGGCAAACUCCGGUUUACAUACACCGGUCCCCCAUCUUAUACCAAGGAAUCAUUUAUGCCGAUCGGCAUCACUACAGACAGCCAGAGUCGCAUCCUUACCUCAGACUAUGCCAACCACCGUAUCCACAUUCUUGAUCAGGACGGACAGUUCCUCCGCUACAUUGACAACUGUAAUUUACAGUUUCCAUGGGGGUUAUGUGUGGACACCAAAGACAACCUGUUUGUAGUUGAAUUAGAGACAGGCAAAGUGAAAAAAAUGAUAUAUUACAUGUAAACAAAAGGCAAUGAUUAAUUUAUAUGUCUACAAAAUGCAUAUAAAAUCCCUAUAUAAUGUAAAUUAAUAAAUUAAACAUACA